GGUAUCUCUACACCGUAGACUCAAGACACAUCUAUCCUAAGAAAGCGAUCGUACACCAACCUUCUGGAUCGAUCACCAUCCUCGUGAUGAUCCUAUGGUCAGGAGCUGUUUAUGAGUUAGUUAUGUAAAUUCAUGUCUUAAAUUUUUAACUCUUGAAAAUAUGAAUUUACAUUCCUACUAACUCAAAGGAUGUAUCACAGACACAAUAUACAUAAUGUAAUAGAAGAAUAAUCCUUUUAUUCAUUUAUAGUCAAAAUUAUAAAUUUGCCCU
rnacentral:lncRNA from 1 species